rnacentral:lncRNA from 1 species
CCCCAGAAUUCCCCCAAAUCCCCGGAAUUCCCAACAUCUGAAUGUGGCCCUGGGGGGUCCCGGGGCUGCUCCGGGGAUCCCAAAUCCCGAAUUUCCGCGGCUCCGGCUGCCCCCUCCCACUUUUCCCAUUUUCCCACUUUUCUCCAUUUGUCCCACUUUUCUUCCCAUUUUUUCCCACUUUUCCAGCUUUUCCCAUUUUUUCCUUUUCCCAUUUUCCUCUCUUUUCCCCAUUUUCCCGAUCUUUGUUCCCAUUUUUUCCUUUUCCCAGCUUUUCCCAUUUUUUUCCUUUCCCCAUUGUCCCAACCUUUGUUCCCAUUUUUCUCUUUUUUCCCUCUUUUCCCAUUUUCCCACUUUUCCCCAUUUAUCCCACUUUUCUUCCCAUUUUUUCCCACUUUUUCUACUUUUCCCAUUUUCCCAUUUUUCCCCUUUUCCAGAUUUUUCCAUUUUCCCACUUUUUCCCCAUUUCUCCCACUUUUUCCAUUUUUUCCCACUUUUCCUCCUUUCCCAUUUUCCCUCUUUUCUCACUUUCCCACUUUUUUCCCCACCGUUUUCCCAAUUUUUCCCUGUUUUCCCCCAUUUUUCCCACUUUUCUUUGUUCCCACUUUCCCAUUUUGCCUUUUUCCCUUUUCCCAUUUCCACUUUUUCCCCUUUUCCCAAUUUUCCACUUUCCCCAUUUUAUUUUUUCCCAAUUUUUCGUUUUUUCCCCAUUUCCCAAAUUUUCCCACCUUUUCCCCAUUUUCCCCACUUUUCCCUUUGUUCCCUUUUUUCCACUUUCCCAUUUUUUCCCCUUUUCCCAUUUUUCCCGAUUUUUUCCCACUUUCUCCCUUUUUCUCCCCAUUUUUCCCUCCCCUCCCCUCAGGAUUCCCGGGAAUUCUCCCCUGUGGGAGGGGUUGGGAAUUUUGGGACUUAUCCCGGAUUUUCAUGGAAUGGGGGCUGGGAAUUCCCAGGAAAAGUUUGGGAUUGAUCCCAGAAUCCCAGGGAUUGACAAUUCCCGGGAUUUCCCCUGG